rnacentral:rRNA from 1 species
CCUACGGGAGGCAGCAGUGGGGAAUCUUGCGCAAUGGGCGAAAGCCUGACGCAGCAACGCCGCGUGCGGGAAGAAGGCUUUAGGGUUGUAAACCGCUUUCAGCAGGGAAGAAAAUGACGGUACCUGCAGAAGAAGGUGCGGCCAACUACGUGCCAGCAGCCGCGGUGACACGUAGGCACCAAGCGUUGUCCGGAUUUAUUGGGCGUAAAGAGCUCGUAGGCGGUUCAGUAAGUCGGGUGUGAAAACUCUGGGCUUAACCCAGAGCCGCCACCCGAUACUGCUGUGACUUGAGUCCGGUAGGGGAGCGGGGAAUUCCUGGUGUAGCGGUGAAAUGCGCAGAUAUCAGGAGGAACACCGGUGGCGAAGGCGCCGCUCUGGGCCGAGACUGACGCUGAGGAGCGAAAGCAUGGGUAGCAAACAGGAUUAGAUACCCUGGUAGUCCAUGCCGUAAACGGUGGGCACUAGGUGUGGGUUCCAACUAACGGGAUCCGCGCCGUCGCUAACGCAUUAAGUGCCCCGCCUGGGGAGUACGGUCGCAAGACUAAAACUCAAAGGAAUUGACGG